rnacentral:rRNA from 1 species
GACAGAGGGUGCAAACGUUGCUCGGAAUCACUGGGCGUAAAGGGCGUGUAGGCGGGAAUGUAAGUCGGGCGUGAAAUCCCUGGGCUCAACCCAGGAACUGCACUCGAAACUGCGUUUCUUGAGUAUCGGAGAGGAAAGCGGAAUUCCUGGUGUAGAGGUGAAAUUCGUAGAUAUCAGGAGGAACACCAGUGGCGAAGGCGGCUUUCUGGACGAUGACCGACGCUGAGACGCGAAAGCGUGGGGAGCAAACAGG